UACAGAGGUCUCAAGCGUUGUUCGGAUUCAUUGGGCGUAAAGGGUGCUUAGGUGGUUGGGUAAGUCAAAUGUGAAAUCCCGGAGCUCAACUCCGGAACUGCAUUCGAUACUGCCCGGCUCGAGGAUUGGAGAGGAGACUGGAAUUCACGGUGUAGCAGUGAAAUGCGUAGAGAUCGUGAGGAACACCCGUGGCGAAGGCGGGUCUCUGGACAAUUCCUGACGAUGAGGCACGAAAGUGUGGGGAUCAAACAGG
rnacentral:rRNA from 1 species